rnacentral:lncRNA from 1 species
CUACAGACGGACGACAGAGAUUGAAUCCACCACUCCUGCCUGGAUAUUUUGGAAAUGUAAUUUUCACCACGUCGUUGACGGCUUCAUCGGGUGAUAUCCUAAGUGAACCAUUGAAUCGUACUGUUGAAAGAAUUCAAAAAGCAUUAAAGCGGAUGGACGAUGAGUAUUUGAAAUCAGCACUUGCUUACCUAAAGCAACAGCCUGAUUUAAAUGCUCUACGGAAAGGAGGCCACAUUUAUAAGUGCCCUAACCUCAAUAUCGUCAAUUUGGCAAAUAUGCCAAUGUAUGAUGCGAAUUUUGGAUGGGGCCAGCCGAUAUUUG